GAUGAACGCUAGCGGCAGGCCUAACACAUGCGAGUCGAGGGGUAGAAGGAGCUUGCUCCUUUGAGACCGGCGCACGGGUGCGUAACGCGUAUGCAAUCUACCUUGUACAGGGGAAUAGCCCAGAGAAAUUUGGAUUAAUGCCCCAUAGUAUAUAACCUUCGCAUGUUGGUUAUAUUAAAGUUCCAACGGUACAAGAUGAGCAUGCGUCCCAUUAGUUAGUUGGUAAGGUAACGGCUUACCAAGACGAUGAUGGGUAGGGGUCCUGAGAGGGAGAUCCCCCACACUGGUACUGAGACACGGACCAGACUCCUACGGGAGGCAGCAGUGAGGAAUAUUGGUCAAUGGUCGCAAGACUGAACCAGCCAUGCCGCGUGCAGGAAGACGGUCCUAGGGAUUGUAAACUGCUUUUAUACAGGAAGAAACCCUCCCACGUGUGGGAGCUUGACGGUACUGUAGGAAUAAGGAUCGGCUAACUCCGUG
rnacentral:rRNA from 1 species